UACGGGGGGUGCGAGCGUUAAUCGGAAUUACUGGGCGUAAAGCGUGCGCAGGCGGCGCGUUAAGACAGGUGUGAAAGCCCCGAGCUUAACUUGGGAAUUGCGCUUGUGACUGGCGUGCUGGAGUGUGGCAGAGGGAGGUGGAAUUCCACGUGUAGCAGUGAAAUGCGUAGAGAUGUGGAGGAACACCGAUGGCGAAGGCAGCCUCCUGGGCCAGCACUGACGCUCAUGCACGAAAGCGUGGGGAGCAAACAGG
rnacentral:rRNA from 1 species